rnacentral:rRNA from 1 species
AUUGAACGCUGGCGGCAGGCCUAACACAUGCAAGUCGGACGAGAGGCGGACGGGUGAGUAAUGUAUGGGGAUCUGCCUGGUGGAGGGGGAUAACUACUGGAAACGGUAGCUAAUACCGCAUACCAUCCCAGGUACCCAUAUGGGAUUAGCUUGUAGGUGAGGUAACGGCUUACCUAGGCGACGAUCCCUAGCUGGUCUGAGAGGAGGAUCAGCCACACUGGGACUGAGACACGGCCCAGACUCCUACGGGAGGCAGCAGUGGGGAAUAUUGCACAAUGGGCGCAAGCCUGAUGCAGCCAUGCCGGGGGUAUGAAGAAGGCCCUAGGGUUGUAAAGUACUUUAAGUAGGGAGGCGGUACCGACAGAAGAAGCACCGGCUAACUACGUGCCAGCAGCCGCGGUAAUUC